GCCCUACGGGGCGCAGCAGGCGCGAAAACUUUACAAUGCGGGAAACCGUGAUAAGGGGACACCGAGUGUCAGCAUCAUAUGCUGGCUGUCCAGGUGUGUAAAAUACACCUGUUAGCAAGGGCCGGGCAAGACCGGUGCCAGCCGCCGCGGUAACACCGGCGGCCCGAGUGGUGAUCGUGAUUAUUGGGUCUAAAGGGUCCGUAGCCGGUUUGGUCAGUCCUCCGGGAAAUCUGAUAGCUCAACUAUUAGGCUAUCGGGGGAUACUACCAGACUUGGAACCGGGAGAGGUAAGAGGUACUACAGGGGUAGGAGUGAAAUCUUGUAAUCCCUGUGGGACCACCUGUGGUGAAGGCGUCUUACCAGAACGGGUUCGACGGUGAGGGACGAAAGCUGGGGGCACGAACCGGAUUAGAUACCCGGGUAGUCCCAGCCGUAAACGAUGCUCGCUAGGUGUCAGGCAUGGCGCGACCGUGUCUGGUGCCGCAGGGAAGCCGUGAAGCGAGCCACCUGGGAAGUACGGCCGCAAGGCUGAAACUUAAAGGAAUUGGCG
rnacentral:rRNA from 1 species